ensembl:snRNA U6 U6 spliceosomal RNA
GCUCGCUUCGGCAGCACACAUAUUGGAACGAUACAAAGAAGAUUAACGUGGCCCCUGCACAAAGGGCAACAUGCAAAUAAAAAAAAAAGAUUUGCAUGUUGUU